rnacentral:misc_RNA from 1 species
CUGAGUGCGGACCCCUCGCGGGGCCAACCUCCCACCCGUGUCUCUUGAAUACCCUGUUGCUUUGGCGGGCCCACCGGGUCGCCGGUCGCCGGGGGGCACUGCGCCCCCGGGCCCGCGCCCGCCAGAGCGCCCUAUGAACCCUAAUGAAGAUGGGCUGUCUGAGUGUGAUUUUAAUUAUCA